AAAACGACUCUCGGCAACGGAUAUCUCGGCUCUCGCAUCGAUGAAGAACGUAGCGAAAUGCGAUACUUGGUGUGAAUUGCAGAAUCCCGUGAACCAUCGAGUCUUUGAACGCAAGUUGCGCCUGAAGCCAACAGGUUGAGGGCACGUCUGCCUGGGCGUCAAAC
rnacentral:rRNA from 1 species